rnacentral:rRNA from 1 species
GAUGAACGCUGGCGGCGUGCCUAAUACAUGCAAGUCGAGCGAAGCGGGGACGGGUGAGUAACACGUGGAUAACCUCCUAUACGACUGGGAUAACUUCGGGAAACCGGAGCUCAACCGGAUCCUUAUAGAUGGAUCCGCGCUGCAUUAGCGAGUUGGUAAGUUAACGGCUUACCAAGGCAACGAUGCAUAGCCGACCUGAGAGGGUGAUCGGACAAACGGGAACUGAGAAACGGUACAGACUCCGACGGGAGGCAGCAGGAGGGAAUCUGCCGCAAUGGGAGAAAGCCUGACGGAGCAACGCCGCGUGAGUGAUGAAGGUCUUCGGAUCGUAAAACUCUGUUAUUAGGGAAGCGGUACCUAAUCAGAAAGCCACGGCUAACUACGUGCCAGCAGCCGCGGUAAUUC